GAGAGGAAGAGAGUGGGGAGAGAGAGAAAGAAAGUUAGAUGGCAAUGUAGCAAUGUAACCUGAUCAUUGAUAACCAUCGUAUUUUCAAGUAUAUCCAAUCGAUCAACAUUCAUCCCUGAAGUUUCAUCUGGGUUCACUCACAUAAUUCAGAUUAGUAUCGUUUUCAUUCAGUCGAGACCUCAACGUCAGAAAGGCGUAUCUUUCUAUCUGGCACGUCACCUUAAAUUAACCUACUGUAUAUACAGGGGUGACCAGCGGAAAUAUCACCAGUUCCACUUCUUUCGCGGUCAUCUUUUCAGUUAUCCUUGCAGACAAUUUCCAAGAGAGGACACAGUAAUAUAUCUCCUGCUACACCGAGGUUGUUAAAGGAAGAGGAAAAGGCUACAGAACUGAACGAACACAGAUCUUCUACAGAGAGGCGAGAUCAGAAAGCGGACACACAGCUCCAGAGUGGAAGUAAACAAACAAUCAAAGGAAAUCUAGUUGCCACAUCGAGAAAUGGCAGAGGUAAAACAACUGAACAAUUUGCCCCCCCUCAUCCCCUACCUUGAGGGGAUGACAGAUGAAAAAGAAAAGAAAAUAUAUAAAAAAAUGGUUUUGGAGAAAAAUCCAGAGACUUUAUAUCGUGAUGAGAAAAAAAAGGCUCCGUGCGACCUCAUUUUCUACACAACAAAUUGUUCUACAUGGGAAGAGGAAAUACUGAAACACUAUCCUGAGGGAAAACAGUGGGAAAAAAUUCAAGAUGGCAAACAACUGAAAACGAAGGCAGGCACUAUAAAUGUGUAUGAUACUGGGAAAAUCAUGGUGCAGGGUAAUAGUGAGACGUUAAAGAUAUUCCCAAAUGAUUUCCCAGCCCUGCGCGAGAGCGUGAGAAAGGGUGUCAAGAGCAAGCGUGUCGAGGCGAGUGAGCGUUUCGAUGAGAAAAUGGCAGAGCUAGGCAUUGGGGAGAAGGAGGAGGAAAGAGGAGAGCAGAGGGAAAGAGAGAGUGAGGUCAUAAAAGAGGAAGACAUAAAGGAGGAAAUAAAGGAAGAGGUGGGAGGAGGUAAGGAGUAGCACUGAACCUUCCAGGGCAGAUCAGAAGAGAAACAUUAUUUUACAGGAUGUAUAAUUUGAUGAACAAUUAUGCUAAAUCCUGCUGUUCCUCUUACCUUAUUAUUUUAAUGUUGUAUCUUCUACCUUUUAAUGUUUGUCUUUUUUAUUGAGCUUGUAUGAAAAAUCCAUUCAUAAGUGCUCACAAUCAUCAUUAUCUUGCUUUGGUUAUAGUUUAGCACUUUCCCAAUGAUAAAGGCGCAUAAAGCAAAAAGGUGGUGGUCCCUGUGAAUUUCCCCAGCAAUAUGUUUAAUUUUGUUUCAAAAUGUGUGCUCUAAAAUGUAUCAAGAUUUUUGAAACGCAAUUCUAAUAAAGUUUGAUUUAACAAGUGUCA